rnacentral:tRNA from 1 species
ACCUGGGUGGCUCAGUCGGUUAAGCAACUGACUUCGACUCAGGUCAUGAUCUCAAGGCUCGUGGGUUCAAGCCCCGCAUCGGGCU